GGGAUGUGUUUUGUUAAUUGGAUAACUGUGGUAAUUCUAGAGCUAAUACAUGCAUAUACGUUCAGCUUCGGCUGGAUGUGCUUUUAUUAGUGCAAACCAUGUCUUCGGACUGCAGGUGAUGACUCUGAAUAACUUUGCCGAGCAUUUCAGCCUCGAGCUGGUGCUAUUCCUUCAAAGUAUCUGCUCUAUCAACUGUCGAUGGUAUAUUAUAUGUUUACCAUGGUUGUAACGGGUAACGGAGAAUUAGGGUUCGAUUCCGGAGAGGGAGCCUGAGAAACGGCUACCACGUCUAAGGACAGCAGCAGGCGCGCAAAUUACCCACUCCCGGCACGGGGAGGUAGUGACAAAAAAUAACAAUGCGGGACUCAAUUGAGGCUUCGUAAUUGGAAUGAGUACAUUCUAAAUCCUUUAACGAGGAACUAUUGGAGGGCAAGUCUGGUGCCAGCAGCCGCGGUAAUUCCAGCUCCAAUAGCGUAUAUUAAAAUUGUUGCGUCUAAAAAGCUCGUAGUUUGAAAACUUGCCUUGGCUUACAAUUGGUCCCUUGUGGAUCGCCGUUUGUCGAGCGCAAAUAUAGAUGACUGUUUUUGCCGACUUUAUUGUUUGGCUUAUAAGAGUUAUCAAAUAUCACUUUGAUUAAAUUAGAGUGCUUAAAGCAAGUGUCUUACUUGAAUAUAAAUGCAUGGAAUGAUGGAAUAUGUUGUUGUUCUAUUUGUUGGUUUUUUGAACGAUGAAAUGAUUGAAAGGAACUGUUGGGGGCAUUCGUAUUGUUGUGAGAGAGGUGAAAUUCUUAGACCACAGCAAGACGAACUACUGCGAAAGCAUUUGCCAAGAAUGUUUU
rnacentral:rRNA from 1 species